UCAAGUUUCUGAUUUUUUCUUUUAUUUCCAUUUCUAUUUUUAUUUAUUUAUUUAUUUUUUUCGCUUUAGGUUGCACUUCGGAUGCCACCGCAAUAUGCCUGUGCAUGCCUUUUUCUUCUGUCUGAACUCCUUAAAGCCAGACCCACCUCUAUGGAACAUGGUGUUGCAGAAUGAAUCUAUUGAUGACGAACUUGAACACUUUGAAGAUGUUAUAGAAGAAACUGAUAAUGAACCUAGCACCGUA